ACUGCCCAGGAAUCUUGGGAAAAUGCAGAGUCUGAUUCAGUAGGUCUGAGAUGGAACCUGAGAUUCUGCAUUUCUGGCAAGCCCUCAAGCGAUGCCAA
rnacentral:pre_miRNA from 1 species